rfam:Beta vulgaris subsp. vulgaris Bvchr4.sca005.con0081.1, whole genome shotgun sequence.
CUCGUAGUUGGACCUUGGGGUGGUACGACCGGUCCGGCCUGCAGUGUGCACCGGUUGUCUUGCCUCUUUCGCCGGCGAUGCGCUCCUAACCUUAAUUGGCCGGGUCGUUCCUCCGGCACUGUUACUUUGAAGAAAUUAGAGUACUCAAAGCAAGCCUACGCUCUGUAUACAUUAGCAUGGGAUAACAUCAUAGGAUUCCGGUCCUAUUAUGUUGGCCUUCGGGAUCGGAGUAAUGAUUAACACGGACAGUCGGGGGCAUUCGUAUUUCAUAGUCAGAGGUGAAAUUCUUGGAUUUAUUAGGUGUGUACAAUCAAUGUUUCGAUAAGUUAAUAA